ACCACCAUCAGCUUUGCGACUCUUUGACCCAUGGGGGUCUAUUGGCCUACUAAUAUAGGAACCUCAGGUCAGGCGAGGCUACCCACUGGUGGGAUCCCCUUGUGGGUUGCAGCGCCGACCGUCCCUGAUCUUCUAUGAAGGGUUCGAGUGAGAGCAUACCUGUCGGGACCCGAAAGAUGGUGAACUAUGCCUGAGUGGGUGAAGCCAAUGGAGGCCUGCAGUGAUAUUGACGUGCAAAUCGUUCGUCUAACUUGGUUAUAAGGGCGAAAGACUAAUCGAACCGUCUAGUAGUUGGUUCGCUCUGAAGUUUCCCUCAGCAUAGUUGGAGCCCACGGGCGAGUUCUAUCGGGUAAAGCCAAUGAUUAGAGGCAUCAGGGGCGCAACGCCCUUGACCUAUUCUCAAACUUUAAUUAGGUAAGACGGUGUGGUUUCUUUGUUGAGCUAUGCCAAAGAAUCGAGAGCUCCAAAUGGGCCAGUUUUGGUAAGCAGAACUGGCGAUGCGGGAGGAACCAGAAGCUGGGUUACGGUUCCCAACUACGCGCUAACCUAGACCCCACAAAGGGUGUUGGUCGAUUAAGAUAGCAGGACAGUGGUCUUGGAAGUCGAAAUCCACUAAGGAGUGUGUAACAACGCACCUGUCGAAUCAAUUAGCCCCGAAAAUGGAUGCGCUAAAGCGCGCAACCUAUACCUGGGCGUAGCGGUCGUUUGUGCAGAUCUUAGUGGUAGUAGCAAAUAUUCAAAUGAUAACUUUGAAGGCCUAACAGGGGAAAUGUUCCAUGUAAACGCCACUUGCACAUGGGUUAGUCAUUUCUAAGGGACGGGGGAAGCCCGUCUGAUAGCGCUCUAAGUGUGCACUUCGAAAGGGAAUUGGGUAAAAAUUCCUGAACCGGGACGUGGCGGCUGAUGGCAACGUUAGGAAGUCCGAAGACGUCGGCGGGGACCCCGGAAAGAGUUAUCUUUACUGUUUAACAUCAUGCCCAUCCUGGAAACGGCUCAGCCAGAGGUAGGGUCCAACUACUGGAAGAGCACUGCAUGUCAUGUGUUUUUUUGUGCCUCCCACGCCCGGACGUACUCCUAACCGCAAUAGGUCUCCAAGGUGAACAAGCUCUGGUC
rnacentral:rRNA from 1 species